rnacentral:rRNA from 1 species
UACGGAGGAUCCAAGCGUUAUCCGGAAUUACUGGGCGUAAAGAGUUGCGUAGGUGGCAUGGUAAGCGAGUAGUGAAAGCGUUCCGCUCAACGGAAUAAACAUUAUUCGAACUGCCAAGCUAGAGGAUGAGAGAGGUAGAUGGAAUUCCUAGUGUAGGGGUAAUAUCCGUUGAUAUUAGGAGGAACACCAAUGGCGUAGGCAGUCUACUGGCUCAUUUCUGACACUCAGGCACGAAAGCAUGGGGAGCAAACAGG